UCAUUCCGGGUGACCUCAGAUCAGGUAGGGAUACCCGCUGAACUUAAGCAUAUCAAUAAGCGGAGGAAAAGAAACCAACAGGGAUUGCCUCAGUAACGGCGAGUGAAGCGGCAAAAGCUCAGAUUUGGAAUCUGGCGUCACCUUCUGGCGUCCGAGUUGUAAUCUGCAGAGGGGCAUUCGAGUGUGGCGAUGGCUUAAGUUUCUUGGAACAGGACGUCAUAGAGGGUGAGAACCCCGUUAACGGCCCUUUGUCUUAUGCUCAUGUGAAUCUCCUUCGACGAGUCGAGUUGUUUGGGAAUGCAGCUCUAAAUGGGUGGUAAAUUCCAUCUAAAGCUAAAUACUGGCAAGAGACCGAUAGCGCACAAGUAGAGUGAUCGAAAGAUGAAAAGAACUCUGAACAGAGAGUCAAAUAGUACGUGAAAUUGUUGAAAGGGAAGCACUUGCUACCAGACACGCCUGCGGUCGAUCAGCCUUCACUCUGUGAUGGUGCACUCGGCCUGCAUUGGUGGGUCAGCAUCAGUUGUGGCGGCGGGAUAAAGGCCUGGGGAAUGUGGCUUCUCUCGGGAAGUGUUAUAGCCCUGCGGCGCAAUACCGCCUGCA
rnacentral:rRNA from 1 species